rnacentral:misc_RNA from 1 species
GAUGAAGAACGCAGCGAAAUGCGAUAAGUAGUGUGAAUUGCAGAAUUCAGUGAAUCAUCGAAUCUUUGAACGCACAUUGCGCCCCUCGGUAUUCCGUGGGGCAUGCCUGUUCGAGCGUCAUCUACACCCUCAAGCUCUGCUUGGUGUUGGGCGUCUGUCCCGCCUCCGCGCGUGGACUCGCCCCAAAUUCAUUGGCAGCGAUCCUUGCCUCCUCUCGCGCAGCACAUUGCGCUUCUUGAGGGGCUCCGGUUCGCGUCCAACAAGCACAUUUACCGUCUUUGACCUCGGAUCAGGUAGGGAUACCCGCUGAACUUAAGCAUAUCAAUAAGCGGAGGA